rnacentral:rRNA from 1 species
AACUCAGUCGAAGCACGACGGGAUUUAAGUGCUUGCACGUAAGUGCACGCUGUUUCUAUGUCUAAAACACAUAGAGAGUAGGGCUGGGUAAGACGGGUGCCAGCCGCCGCGGUAAUACCUGCAGCUCAAGUGGUGGCCGCUAUUAUGGGCCUAAAACGUCCGUAGCCGGUUUAAUAAAUGCCUGGGUAAAUGUAUAGCUUAACUAUACGAAUUCCGGGUAGACUGAUAAACUUGAGACCGGGGGAAGUUAGAGGUACUCCUGGGGUAGAGGUGAAAUUCUGUAAUCCUAGGGGGACCCCCGGUGGGCGCUGGGGUAGAGGUGAAAUUCUGUAAUCCUAGGGGGACCACCGGUGGCGAAGGCGUCUGACUAAAACGGGUCUGACGGUGAGGGACGAAGCCCUGGGGCGCAACGGGAUUAGAUACCCCGGUAGUCCAGGGUGUAAACGCUGCUUGCUUGAUGUUAGUCGGGCUUCGAGCCCGAUUAGUGUCGGAGAGAAGUUGUUAAGCAAGCUGCCUGGGAAGUACGGCCGCAAGACUGAAACUUAAAGGAAUUGGCGGGGGAGCACAGCAACGGGUGGAGCGUGCGGUUUAAUUGGAUUCAACGCCGGAAAGCUCACCGGAGGCGACGGUUACAUGAAGGCCAGGCUGAUGACCUUGCUAGAUUUUCCGAGAGGUGGUGCAUGGCCGCCGUCAGUUCGUACCGUAAGGCGUUCUGUUAAGUCAGACAACGAACGAGACCCUCAUCUUUAAUUGCUAUUGGCAAGUCCGCUUGUCAAGCACAUUAAAGAAACCGCUGGCGAUAAGUCAGAGGAAGGCGAGGGCACGGUAGGUCAGUAUGCCCUGAAUCCUCCGGGCUACACGCGCGCUACAAGGCUAGGACAUGGGCUCGACACCGAAAGGUGAAGGUAAUCCCGAAACCUAGUUAAAGUUCGAUCGAGGGUUGAACCUCCCCUCGUGAAGAUGAUCCCGUAUCCCGGCACAUCCCGA